rnacentral:rRNA from 1 species
AUGCCCCACCUGGCGGCUGUUUGGGCGGUCCAAGCUGAGGCCAAGAUCAAAUUCUUUGUCUGGACGCUGCUCCAGAAUAGACUAUGGACAGCUGAUCGACUGUUUGUAAGAGGCUGGAAUCAUCAAGACUAUUGUUCUACCUGCGACCAAGUGAUCGAGUCGGCCCAUCACCUGAUCCUUGGCUGCCCAUAUGCAUGCCAAGCAAGUCUGGGCUAA